rnacentral:misc_RNA from 1 species
UUUCCGUAGGUGAACCUGCGGAAGGAUCAUUAGUGAAUAUUAGGGUGCUCUGUGGCUUUAACACGCUCAGAGGCCUGACCUCCACUUUCCACACUGUGCACCUUUCGGCGAAAUGGAAUCUUGAGCUUUGCUCUCGAGGACGUUUUGCGGCUUCAUUAUAAAACACUAGUUUAAGAAUGUAAAAAAACCAUAACAAAAAAAAACUUUCAACAACGGAUCUCUUGGCUCUC